rnacentral:rRNA from 1 species
GACGAACGCUGGCGGCGUGCUUAAUACAUGCAAGUCGAACGGAAAGGCCCUGCUCUUGUGGGGUUCUCGAGCGGCGAAGGGGGGAGUAACACGCGAGUAUACUGCCCUUGUCUUUGGGAUAAAUUUAGGAAAAUGGGGCUAAAAUAGGGGAGGAGCUCUUGCUGCAUGGGGGGGGUUGGAAAGAGACGGCGGUUGGGGAUGGUCUGGCGGGUUACGAGCUGGUUGGUGGGGUAGUGGAUUCCCAAGGCUUUGACGGGUAGCCGGCCUGAGAGGUGGAACAGCGACAAUGGGACUGAGAUACGGACCAGACUCGUACGGGAGGCAGCAGUGGAGAAUAUUGCACAAUGGGCGGAAGCCUGAUGCAGCAACGCCGCGUGCGGGAUGCCGGCCUUCGGGUGGUAAACCGCUUUCGCCGGUGACGAAGCGUUAGUGACGGUAAUGGGUAAAGAAGCAACGGCUAACUACGUG